UACGAAGGGGGCUAGCGUUGCUCGGAAUCACUGGGCGUAAAGCGCACGUAGGCGGCUUUCUAAGUCAGGGGUGAAAUCCUGGAGCUCAACUCCAGAACUGCCUUUGAUACUGGGAAGCUUGAGUCCGGAAGAGGUGAGUGGAACUCCGAGUGUAGAGGUGAAAUUCGUAGAUAUUCGGAAGAACACCAGUGGCGAAGGCGGCUCACUGGGCCGGUACUGACGCUGAGGUGCGAAAGCGUGGGGAGCAAACAGG
rnacentral:rRNA from 1 species